UUUUUUGAUUGAAAACUGGAAUGAAUGGUUGAUACCAACGGGGAUGUUUUAUUUUAUAAGUUUGAAUUUAAAUUAGAAUUAAAAAUGUUUUUAUGAACUCUUGGGACGAGAAGACCCUAGAAGCUUAAAGUUUAUAAACUUUUAAUUGGGGCAAUUUUUGAAGAAAUUAAUUUUUGAUAUGAUUAAAUAAUUAAAAUUAGUUACUCUAGGGAUAACAGCGUAAUUUAAUUGGUAAGUUCUUAUUGAUAAUUAAGUUUGCGACCUCGAUGUUUAAUUAAUU
rnacentral:rRNA from 1 species